AUUUUUGGCUCAGUUUUCAUUUUGAUGCUGUGUGUUGUGAAGGACUGUGUGGACGUUCAGAGCCUAGCUGAAGGCGCUGAGAGCGAGUGACCUUCCUGGGUCUUUGUAGGCGACAGAUCUCCCCCUGAGCUCCGCCUACAGACCCCAGUCUAGGCUUGGGACCUUGGAGAUCAAACAGUACACUACUUCGAAUUUUUUUGACAUGUCACAUUUUGCAAUGUUUUCUAUGGUCAGCAAAACUGAAUACCUGUUUCUUCUAAUUGUGUCUGUUUGCGUGUGUGCGUGUGUGCGCUGACACCUGGUGGCUAUAUAUUGUCAGUCAUGACAACAUCGAUGUGGAACUUUUGUUUUGUAAACCAAGCACCUGUUGCCAUAGUGGUGUGUGUGUGUGUGUGUGUGAGUGAGAGUGAGAGAGAGAGAGGUUCCAAGUCCAGCAUCUGACGAGUAACUUGCAGCGGCCAAUGCAAGUUGUGUUCAGUGUGAAUUUCGUUUUCACUGGGAGUCAGUGUAUUAUUACUGGGUGUGUGGUGUGAUGUGGUUGUCCAGGCUUCCAUUGUUCCCACUGUCAAAAGCAGAAACCAGCACUCUGGCGUGGUAUGGACCCAACGUUCUUACACAAAACACAAGUUAAACACUCAAUGUUUAGUAUUAAUAUUACAUCAAGUAGUGGACAUUUCUUUCUGAAAGAGAAUCCUUGAGUUUUCUGGUGCUGCUUUAGGUGUGAGGUGUGGUGUGACCAGGUGAUGUGAUGCUGCUAUGUAGUUUGAUUCGCCUUAUGCUAAUUACACCCUGCCCCUGAGCCUAAUUGCACCACACUUUCCCUUUAUGGCCCUUGUGGGGGAGUCAAGAUACUCGGCGUACAUAACCUAAAACUUAUAAGGAGAGGCGACCAAUCAUAGUGCCAAAUUUGGGUGUUGGGUCAUUUCGAACAGGUCAUCUUCCCAAGGCAGGCUGUUUUCCUUCAUUAUUGUGUGUGUGUGUGUGUGUGUGUGUGUGUGUGUGUGUGUGUAGUAGUGAAAGCUCUCCAAGUGUCUGGUGUUCUGGCUGAGCUGUUGAGGUCCUUCAGUAAAGGGCACAGGAUUUGCUGUAGUACAGAAGUAUUGAAUAGCUCAGCGCUUUAGAGCCCUUCAAGUCUAGCCCCUCCCCUAGGUUAACGCCUCCUCUAGCAUAGCCCCUCCCCUAGGUUAACGCCUCUUCUAGCGCUCUGUCUACGUUUCUUGUGUACAGGUUCCUUUCUUACACUACAGGCUUGUACUUACCCAUCAGGCCUCCAGAGCUCCAAAGACCACGUACCCAAUCCCUCCCUCUGAUGGCCUCACUCACAGGGUAGGGGCUUUGUUUUGGUUUUCUUCUGUUGUUUGCUUGUUUUCUUUUUUUUUUUCCUUUUGUUUUUUUAAAUGUUUAUAUUGUACAGGAUAUGAAUUCUGAUCAUUUAUAUUAAGGAAUGGGGCUUUUUAUCAUGACAGGGAGUAUUACAGAUGAUGCAUCUUUUUUAAUAAGAAAAAUUGAGUAUUGAUAUUUUUCAGGGAUCAUUAAGAAAAAAAAAGGGUCAAAAAUGUUAUUGAAGGAAUCGAUGCAUCUUGUACAGAGCCGAGACGUUCUCCCUUAGCAAAGAUUGUUUCUUUGUAGAAACGUCUUUUCUGCCCAUGUUCCUUGUAAUCAUAAGUGUAA